rnacentral:tRNA from 1 species
UGAGGUUGUGGCUCAGUGGUAGAGCACUUGCCUCACAUGUGUGGGGCACUGAGUUCAAUCCUCAGCACCACAA